UGUUACUUAAACACAGGAAUGUUUCAAGUUUCUGACUUGCUCCUAGAUUCAAGUUACUGAUCUGUGCGCGAACCCAAAGAUUUGUAAUACUUCCAACAUUAAAUCUUGCAGAACAUUUCGAGUAAUUACUUAAUGAAUUUCAUAGGAGAAAAUCAGGGCAAAGGUCUCAUUAUGGAAAAGGAAAUCGUAAAAUUUGUACUAUGAUCAUUUUAAUCAAAUUUUUAAUGCAAAGAAAUGCAAUCAAUCAAAUUUCUAAAGCACUCAGUAAAAAAUGGUGUUUGUUCAAUAUUACCCUGAUAGUUUCCAUAGGAGACGCUAUGACUUUUCGGUGUGUUAUCGAGCUGAAAAAUUAGUCGAGAGGUCUGGAUUCGAGACCAAGCAAGGACAUUCUGUUGCGUUCUUUACUCAGACGUUUUAAAUUUACGGCACCUCUCUUUACCCAGGGGUAUGAAUUGGCACCAGCGAAAUAUCGAAGAAAGUAUUCUCCAGCAGUGAAAACCCCUGAAAGUAUUUUAGCGGUCAAGGGAUACGCUGACAAAUAUGCUAUUAGAUCUAGAGAGGAUAUCGUCUUUUAAGAGAUAAAUGAAGUGUUCGCUAUGCAUUUCCGUCUCUUGUCUCAUUAUAAUCUGUCGCAUGCUUCAUGCCAAAAUAUGCAAGCAAGCUGACGGAUGAAGUGUCUUAAAGAAGGUCGGCUUUAAGUGCAUUUGCCUCUCCAACCAAGGAUGGUGUCUUCCUUACAGAGUGAGAUUUAGUUGCAAAAAGAGGAAAUUCAAGCCACAACAACCAAAUUCCAACUUUUGAGCAUCAUUUCCAUCCAGCCGAGUUCACCGAUCCUACGGAGAUAUCUGUUGAGACUAGUUAGUUGUAUUGGUAAAAUUUGUUUGAAAGGAUCAUUGCAAGGAAACUUCCGAAUACGAAGCAUUUUGGGCCGACGCCUGACACUCACGAAUACUGUUCUUUAUACAAAGAAACGCCCCGCUCACGCGACCUUGGCACGACAUGUUUUUGGUGUAAACCACACCUUGAAUAGAAGCCAACACCUCUGGAACAACUUCACAGUGACGGCAUUUGAUAUAUUCACUAAGAUUAAACAGAAAAAAAUAACCCGCUAAAAAAUUGGACUAAGCUUGCUGAAGCUCAGUACGGAUAGUCAGGUAAUUGACCUUGGAGACACCGUUGUUGCAUGGCUAAAAAUAGGCAUGUUAGGAGUUGAACAACAAUUAAUAAAGACACGGGAAUGAUCAGUGCUUGUGUAAAUAAACUCUCUUGUUUUUCAAA